UAUAAUUACUACGUUUUUCGGAUAUAUUUUUGGGAAUGUAUACAGAUUAUAAUUGUUUUAUAUUGAGGAUAAGUGCUUGUAAAAUGUAAUCCAGAAAUUAAUGAAAACAAAUGUCGAAUUUUGCUUUUCUCGGCCCGCCACUGAUAUCCGCAUACGUAUACAUAUGUAUGUAUGUACGAGCAAGUAUGAUUUUACACAGCAAACAAUUCAGCAAAUAUCCCACAAUAUAUGUAUGUACUUAAUCAGAAAAGUAUUUUUUCCGAUGACCUUACACAAUAACGAUAAAGUAUUGGGCCACAUUAUUAAACUAUUCCUUAGUAAAAGAACCGAAAUCUGGAAUUUAAAAUUAUUUACAUACAUACAUACAUAAAUACAUAUGUAUGUAUAUUUUCUCCUUUAACAGUUCCUUUUGUAUUUUUCAGCAUAAUUCCCCAACAGUACCCUGAAAUUGUAAAUUGUUUUUAAAUAUUUUUAAAACUACACUAUUACAAAUUAGUAGUGAAAGAGUUUCAACAAUAAGUAUGUACAUACUUAAAUAAUAUAACCAAGUAAAAUAACCCUUAAACAAUUUGCUAGCACGGAGAAAAGAAUUUUGUUUAAAAAACUCAAAGCUUAAAACUGCAAAAAAGUUCCUAAAAUUUAAGCUGAAAGUAAAUGUGUCGUGGCCAGUAUUUAAGGAUUUUGAAGUGAAGUUCAACUGAUGAAACAUUGUAUUGUAGUUCAUAAAGUUUCAUUCAUUCUAUGCUACUUGAAUACAGUGCAGAAUCGAUUAUACUUACAUACAUAUGUAUGUACUUAGGUAUGUAUGUGGUACAAUGUGGAUGGCAAAAACAAUAAGAAAAGGAAAAAAAGAAUUAAUUUUUUGUUUCUAUUUGAAGAAAAGUGCUGCAGAGUCGCAUCGAAUGCUAAUCGAGGCAAUUUGUGAUCAUGCUCUAUCAGAAGCAAGAUGCAAAAGAUGGUUUCAACAAUGAAUUUAAUGUGAGAAAUGAAGAACGUGGAAGACCACCAAAAAAGUUUGAAGACGCCGAACUGCAAGCAAUAUUCGAUUAAGAUGAUACUUUGAGUCAAAAGAAACAAACAAUUUUAGACCAUUUGAAAGUUUUGGGAAAGAUCCAAAAGUGUGGAAAAUAGGUGCCACGUGAAUUGAAUGAAAGACAAAUGGAAAAAACACUUGUGAAAUUUUGCUUCAAUGACGCGAAGGAAAAUCAGUUUUACAUCGAAUUAUUACUGGUGAUGAAAAAUAAAUUUAUUUUAAGAAUCUUAAACGGAGAAAAAUCAUGGUUUAAUCCGGGACACUCAUUAGUUGAGUAGCACUUCGGUUCCUACGCAGAAGUCGAAAAUACUUAAGUAAACUAAAAACUCGUUGUCUUUUUCCGAAAAAUACCAGUAGAAAUUAGAAAUUAAUUGAGGUUUGCACCGCGACUUACAUGUUUGAACCCUAAACAAAAAAAUAACAGUAAAUCAAAUAUCAAAAUGUUCUAAGGUUGGUGAGCAAAACUGGACGCAUGAGUUUCGUUUGGAUACCCUAUGAAAUUAUUGGUUUAUGUUACCUUUCUAAUAUUUAUUUUAUUUUUUGACGUUUAAAGAAAUAAGUAUGCACUUAAAAAUUUCAAGCAAAUUGAAUAAUUAUUGCUUUUUCUGUAGCAUCAUACGUUGAAGAUUUGACAAACAUCCGAACAGUAUUGCAAACCUAGCUUUCAAAACUUUUAAAACGACCAUGCCACUUUCAACUGUGUUAAAUUACAGUUUAAUUUGUGAUUGAUUUAGAGCAAUGCUGGUUAGUGCAGAUGGCUGUGGCGUUAUGCAGUAAAGUUAGCUGGGUCCCAAGAAACCUAGUAGCAAGUUUCAUUAAGUAUCAUCAUAUGUAUGUAUAUGUCAUUCAUAAUUAAUAGAAAAAGUAUAUUUUGUUACCUUUACAUAACAUUUUCACUAAUUAAAAUUGAUGACGAUUGCAUUCAUACAUACAUAUGUAUGCACAUAUAUUCAAAAGAAAAAAAUUGUGCUUCUAUUGCGAAAUUUAAUAAACAUCUCAAAUAUCAUCAUCAAAUUUGACUCAGAUAAUUGAUUGACAAAAAAACUACAUUUUCUCGUAUUUUAACACAAUUUAUUAUCGCCUCUAAAACAGACUCCUAAGCCCAUACAAGCAUGCUAAUGCUUAAUCCAAUUUCCCCUACAUUUGGUAUAGGUCUCAGCUGAGAUGAAUUUUUUAGGUUUCGGCUUAUUUUUGGAGUACCAUUCGCUAGAUUGUUAGACAGUUUUGACCCUAUAUUCAAAAGCCCACGUCUCGUCACCAGUAAGGACGCGUUUCAUUAAUGUAGGGUCGUCAGCUAUGCUGUCAAGCAUCUCUUUAGCGACAUCGUUUUUGCAAAAGAUUCCAGUCUUUUUGGUAUGAGUUUAGCAUUGACAUGUUUCAUACUCAAAACCCAAAAUAUAUUAAGUCGAUCCAUAACAUAUGUUGAGAUCCUCUGCUAUUUCUUUGAUGGCGAUUUUCAGUACUGUUUUCUUAACUUUUUCGAUGUAUCGUUAUAAACAAGGUAAACGGACGACUCGCAUGAGGCAAAUUUUCGAUGACUUCAUGACCCUCACUGAAUGCUUUGUGCUUCCUAAAUACUUGUAUUCGUGAUAAAGUGUACCUUGCAAAACGCUUCUGUAACAAUUUCAAUGAUCCCGUUAUUCUAUUCGAAACACAAAAUUUCAAGCAACCACAUUGUUCAAUAUUUUUUCCAUGGGAAAAAUCGCCAGACAAACCCUUUGCCUCGUACAAAAAGCAGCUGCCAAAUACCAUACACAUUAAUUGACAUAUGGAGAUCAAACUUCACACGAAUAUAAAAAAGGUUAUACCAUACUAAAAAAAAUUUCGGUUUGUGCGCUCAGCUUACAUAGACCAUGCUCAGUUAUUGAAUUGCCGAGCCUCAGAGCAUUUAAUGCAUUAUUUUUACUUUUUUUAAAUGCAACUUUUAAAUGAAUAUUUUUAUUAAAAAAUCAGCUUUUUUGUAAGGUGGAAUAUUUUGGAUUAAAUUGUCAAUAAUAAUACCAUGUAAAGUAAAUGGAAAAAGUAAACUGAUUUAGACACGGCUUAAAUUUAAUAUACUUAAAGAGCUUUCAAGGGCGUUUGCAAAAAAAAACCUCAAAUUGGAGAAAUAACGGACACCCUAAUACAUAUAUACAUGUAUAUAUAAUAGGGUGUAAGGUGACCAAAGCUAAACUAUGUGCGUACAUAUGUAUGAAAGUAUUUGAAAAGUAUAUACAUAUGAACAUAUGUUUAUUUAUAUUCAUUCGUAUGGACCUACUUAUGUAUAUACACAUAAUUUGCAUCGUGGCGCCAAGAUGUUGAGAAAUUUUAUCCAUCCACACAAAGCUCUGUGUGCGCAUCUUUCAGCGAUACCUACAUACAUACAUACAAUGUAUAUACAUAUGUAUAUAAUUCUCACGACUGCCAACUUGUGGCUUGAGCAAUGCCUUUGGAAAAAAGUUAAUCAUGCUAAUCACAACCACUGUAAAGAAAUUAAUAAAACGAGAACUAUAUUGAUAAGGAAUUAUAAAAGAUAUUUGAAAUAUGACGUACUGCUUUGGGGAAUAAUUGGUUACAGGUUUUGAGACAUUUGUUUGGAUCACAAUUUAUUAAAAGCAUUUUAUGUAGGUACAUAUAUGUAUGUUUAUAAGUAUGUACAUAGUAUGUAUGUAUAUUAAUAUGUUAGUAGCUGUCUUCGAUUCGCCAUAUCUCUGAUCGAGUUGAAUUUGUGAAAGAGGUAUAGCCGCUAUCUUCAAUGCUAUCAAGUUUUGUUUGUCAUAGUUUAGAUGAGUUUAACUAUUGUGAAUGGUUCAAAUGACAAAUGAAAGUACAAAUUUCUUUGUUUUUUCUUAAGACUUAAAAUCAUUUGUAGUAAUUUAUAGAAAACAAAAAGAAAGGGUUAUUGCAAUGUUUUUGACGCGAAAAAAGAAUUUCUGCAGUAAGAAAGAGUUAUAGCACUACAGCGCAUGCGUCAGCAGACAUGUUAGCGCAGUUCGAUUCGCUGGACAUUAAAACUUGUCGAAUCGAAAGCAGGUAGUUUAAUCCCUUUUCAAUUCAUUAUUCCACUACUGUUGGACUUUGUUUUCGACAACAACUUUUUCCCUCUUCUUGAUCAAACUAUGUAUGUAUAUAUGUUUAAAUAUAUUCCGCAAUGUACAUAUUUGUAUUAGUUGUUUGCGUUUUGUAUUGCGAUUCGAAGACAAGAUAUACUACUAGACAGAAAAAGUCUGUGUACAAGGUACCAACCAAAAUAAAUCGUUGAAAAAAAUAAUUUUGUAUACUUUUUAUAAAAUCCAAUGUGUUUGAUAUUCAUUAAAGACGUUUUAAAACAUCCGCUAAAGGUUUUGGCAUAAAAUAGACAAGCUUAGAGGUUUCAGUCCAAGAGAUGUGAGCCCGAUCUUCGUUAAGCACAUCUUUGAAUCACAUAGGUGCUUUUUAGAAAUAAAAUCUGGUGAUUCUGGUGGUGUUUGAAGCUGCUUGAGAAUGUUAUAGAGUAACCAAAGCUCAACUAUGUCUAUGCUAUAUGAUUCGCUAUUUUUAAGAUUUUGGCCGCCCUAGACGGGCCGAGAUAUUAAAAAGCCGGUAUCUUUGUAAUUUUGUAUUAUUCUUUUUAUGGAAAAAUGUGUUCUUCCAACAAUUCGACCGAUUUCACCGUAUGUUUUUCCUUCUUCCAAAAGUUUAACCAUGAUUUCCCUUUCAGAGGUUCCCUUUGUUUUCUUUUAGGCGAGAUUCGAUGUUCUAAAUUUAAUAACAAACUGAAUAAAACAAAAACCCUUUGAAAUUGCCACUUUUGCCAAAACAUUUUAUUUAUUUUUUGUAAAGAGAAGUAGAAGUAACGAAAAAUACUCCAAAGAGUAUACUUAUAUGUACAUACAUACAAGCAUACAUAUGUAUGUAAGUAUAUCCAACGUGAUAACGAAUUUCGGGAUUCUGUAAUUUUUACCGAUAUGGGCCCAAAUUUAAUUUAGUUGGAUGCAACGGUCGUCGAUUUGUAAGGCGUAAGGAAGGCUAAAGCUAAAAGUUAUGACUGCUCUUCAGAAGAUGUGGACAAAUAUACCUACCAUUAUGGUGUAUUCUAUAAAUAAAAGACUGCAUACAAUGAUAGAGGGCAAAGGUGUACGUACAAAGUACUAAUUUUUCUUCAAGAGUGUUAAAAUGACAAUUUAUGCAAACUGUACAAGUUUUUUUUUGGCUUUCGAAAAUGGAUUUAUUUUUAUUCUUUUAUUUUUUGGAGAAAACUGAAUUUUUAAAAAAAUAUUUCAAUUACAUUAUGAAAAUUAAUAAAAACGGACUUUUUCUCUCCUUUGGAUGCAACUCAAAAGUUUUAAUAGUUUAAGAGUUAAGUCACUUCAAACAAAAACAAUCUCCCUGUACAACAUUUUUUUUUUUGAUUCACUGUAUGUACAUACAUACAUAUGUAUAUGUAUGGAAGAAAAAAAUCAUACACGGUAUGAAUUUAAAGUCUGUUUAAUAACCCUGCCAGUCACGGCUAACUACUUUCCCUAGAAGUUUCAACACAAUUACAUAUUUUUUCUUCAGGCACUAACACCAACUCAUACUUUUGGGAUAUUUCUUUUUUAACUGAUUUUGAAUUUCCUAAACAAACCAAACUUCCAAUCUCAUUUCUUGAACUUAUUGAGCAAGUGAGAAAACAUAUUUGUCAUUAGUGCCAAUAUAAAAAUCCCAAAAAAGAAAAUAAAAAUAUUGACAAAUGCAAAUCGAUUGUUUUUGAAAAUACAAAGUUUUGUUGUUUUCAUUAUCAUAAAAGUCAUCAAGUUACAAACACACUGGUUUUUGGUAAAUAUAAAAAAUGGAUAUGUCGAAUACUUUUUUUGGCCAGUGUAUGUACAAGUAUGUUCAACUACGAAGAGUACACUAUCGGAAGUUUCAGCAGUUGAUAGGUGUCUUAAUAAGUCCCAUAUGGCUAUAUACAUAUGUACAUAUGUAUCAUAACCUCAAAUAUCGUUGGAUUGGCGUCUUCGCGGACAACAAAUACCACUUUUUUAACCACUUUUGGCUGGAAGGGAAUUACAUACAUAUGUACAUAAUGCAUAUGUCUGUUGUUGUAUUAAGUUAUUCAUUAUACGUUUUUAUAUCCAAAAGUAUUAUUCCGUUUAUGUACAAUAUAUAUGUAUGUAUGAACAGUUGUCCACAAAAAAGGAGUGACAUCAUUAACAAAACGAAUCUUUAAAUUUUUAAUAAAAAACAUGUUUUAAGUUUAAAAAUCUUUAUACAAGACGUUCACUGAUG